AUGGUCCCCACGCCACCUCUGGCCAGGGCUCGCGGCCCUGUUGCACACCUGACAGCUGCGCACAGACACUUGCCUGGGGUGGCCUGCGGCCCUACCAUGGCUAUCGGUGUUAUUCACCUCCUGUCAGUGCUGGGCCUCCUUCAGCUCGCUCUCAAGGUUGGGGACCAGCCCGACAAGGUCACCCAAGACCUCCUUCAAGAAAGAGAGAAGAUGCUGAGGGAGGAGAUGUCGUGGCUGCUGCAGGAGGUCGAAGAAGGAAGUGAGCUGGAGAGUGGGAAGAGCACACUGUUCAUGUUCCUCGCUGCGUGCCACCACUGGCAGUUCUGGGCACUUGCCGAAGUGCUUCUGAUACUGUUUGGGAUGUACUGGCUGCCCAGGCAGAGAAAAGCUGACACCAAUGGAGACACUGACCCAUGGAGCUCAAGCAGUGAGGAUGGGGUUGUAGGAGAGGAAAAGGAAGAGGAUGAUGAAGUUGAGGAAGAGUUGACUGCGGAAGAGGAGGAGUGGGAAGAAGUGCACCUCAACAACCAACAUGAUCCGGGCCUGCUUGUGGGUCAGCUCAGGGAGUCUCUGCUGCCAAAGCUGUUUAUGAUGUGGAACAUUAUGGAAGAGAUGGCAGGGGCAAACUCUGCAUCAGCAAACUCCCUUCAGAGAACCACUUUCAUGAUGGAGCUGCAGGCAGAGAUGGGGUUGGUUGCAACUCUGAGAACAACCUGGCUGUUUCACCCCUCAGUUACACCAAUGCCAAAUUUAAUGGUUCUCCUCAUGUGUCUUCACGCUUCCACUGAGGAAUACCUACAAAGAUUAGAUGCAUAGAUGCGUAGGAAUAGUCAAAAUAGCUAAAGUUGUUUGUUACGAGAUGUUUUCCAUAUAGAUUAGUCACCUCAAUAGAAAUAGAUUUGUAGUUUAUAAGGACCACCCGGCAGCUGGGUUUCAGGACUCUAGCAAACCUGUGGAGAGUCUCACCCAAUCCUUCUGAAGAUGCUGCUCCCAGGAGUCCUGCAGCAGAGGCUCCCAUUACCACCAUUACCAUCAGGACAGCAACUGCCUGCACUGCUACGGGAGUGGAUCCCCUCUAGGAGCAUUAGUGUAUAGAAAAUGCCAAUAAAUAUUUGAUUGUUUGAACA
rnacentral:lncRNA from 1 species